rnacentral:misc_RNA from 1 species
UGGUUUGUUUGAAUUAUUGAACCUGCUGAAUAUCGAAAGUAAUCAGCUGUUUUUGAAAGCUAUUCAUGUUUUCAUCGAGCCAGUUUUCCACAGGAGCUGGAAAAUUUGUCUGCGUCUGGAAAAUACACAAGAAGUUUAACAUGGAUAAUAAAGUAUAUUUGGCAAAAGCCAAUAUCUUUUGUAGUGGAAACUAAAUCUACCGUGUUAUUUUUCAUCAAGUCUGGGCAUGUCAACAUGAGAAAAUGAGAUACCUUCUAUUGGAAAUUCCUGCACUCGUUAUUUUUAUCUCAUUGAGAAGUGUGGCAUCAAUUAAUUGCUACACUUGUUCAUCACAUAAUGGCAGCAAUCCUCAUUGUGAAGAUCCUUUCAAUCCUGCGAUGUCAACAUACAAAGAAAAAUGUAUGGUUCCCAAGGCCGGUCACAUAGGACUUUUUCCUGCUAAUUUCUGCAUUAAAAUUGACGGCAGGAAUGUUAGGCCAACUGGUUGUUAUUAUUUGUCAACAAUAAUAGUUAUUUCUCUCUUUACACCAACUUGAUUGAAACAGUGAAAGGACAUUCUUCCAAAUAGGACUGAUGAAAUCGGUGAAAACGAAAGAGGUGACUGUGAUCCGAGCCUGCGUAAUGAAAUCAAUGGACUCACAGUGUGGAGGCUUCAAAUAUGAAGACAUUAUGAUGAAGGGCUGCAUACAAUCGUGUGAUUAUGAUGGCUGCAACAGUGCACUCCAUUUCUUUCAACUGAAUCGCAAAGUUUUAGUGUCUAUCAUGUUUUUCCACCUAUCAAGAUGUUUAAUUCAAUUUUUGUAAAAGUUUUAUAUUUUU